AAAAGAGAAAGAAAUGAAAAUAGCUUUUCUGUUUUUCUGUGGGACCUGGGAAAAUUAAUGUCUUGCUAUCAUAUAUUGUUUGCUUGUUUGCUUUUGUUUUUGAAACAGGGUAUCUUUAUGUAGCCCUACUGUCCUGAAACUCACUAUAUAGACCAGCCAUCCAAGGUGUCUGAUUUAAAUCCCGUGUCAAUGCCUUUUGCCUCUAACUCAGAAUCUGCUCCAUUGACUUUGGCAUCACCAAGAUUGGUUGCUGCUGAUAAUCAGGACACUGGUAGUUUACCUCAGUUAGCUGUACCAGCACCUCGAGUUUCUCAUCGAAUGCAGCCCAGAGGUUCUUUUUACUCAGUAGUACCAAAUGCAACUCUACACCAGGAUCCCCAGUCAAUUUUUGUUACCAAUCCAGUUCCUUUAACACCGCCACAAGGCCCGCCAACUGCAGUGCAGCUUUCAUCGGCUGUGAACAUUAUGAACGGCUCUCAGGUGCACAUAAACCCAGCAAAUAAGUCCUUGCAACCUACAUUUGGCCCAGCCACGCUUUUUAAUCACUUCAGUAGUCUUUUUGAUAGUGGUCAGGUGCCAGCUAACCAAGGGUGGGGAGAUGGACCUCUGCCCUCAAGAGUUGCUGCAGAUGCCUCUUUCACUGUUCAGUCAGCUUUCCUGAGUAACUCUGUACUUGGACACUUGGAAAAUGUGCAUCCUGACAACUCCAAGGCACCUGGCUUCAGACCACCAUCACAGAGAGUUUCUACUAGUCCAGUUGGUAAGCUGUUAAGUAUUAUUGUAGCUAAAUAUGGGACUGUCAAAACUCAUCUUCCAAGCUAAUAGGGCCUUGUUUUGUACCUAAUACUAUCUAACCUUACAAGAAAUAAUGCCUUUUAGUUAAUGCUGCUUAAAUGCAAAAAUUGCUGUAUAUAAAUCACAUAAAAUAAAUUAUUUAUUUCUGUACCUG
rnacentral:lncRNA from 1 species